rnacentral:lncRNA from 1 species
GUACACGACGUCUUUUAGACAUCGUAUGGCCAUCGCGCCAUCAUCGUAAUCCAUCGUGUAGCCUUCGUAAUCCAUCGUGUAGCCUUCGUGAUCCAUCGUGUAGGCCUCGGCUGAGAUAUGAAGCUUAAAUACCUGUCUUCGGUUAAUCUUCGUAUGUCAAUCUUUUGCUAUCGUAUAUAAUUUCGGCACCAUCGUAUAGACUUCGUU